ACACUGAGGAGAUACUUGAAGAAUUUGGAUUCAGCCGCGAAGAGAUUUAUCAGCUUAACUCAGAUAAAAUCAUUGAAAGUAAUAAGGUAAAAGCUAGAGGCAGAUGUUUAUUUUUCUUAUGUAACAAAAAGUCUGGGAGUAGGUGUCUGCUGGCUUUCAGUCAGCUGCUAGAUGUCAGAGCCAACAAUUUAAUGUUUCCUUGGCAGCUUUAUGGA
rnacentral:lncRNA from 1 species